rnacentral:rRNA from 1 species
CGGGUGAGUAACACGUGGGCAAUCUGCCCUGCACUCUGGGACAAGCCCUGGAAACGGGGUCUAAUACCGGAUGACACUUUCUCUCGCAUGGGAGAAGGUUGAAAGCUCCGGCGGUGCAGGAUGAGCCCGCGGCCUAUCAGCUAGUUGGUGAGGUAGAAGCUCACCAAGGCGACGACGGGUAGCCGGCCUGAGAGGGCGACCGGCCACACUGGGACUGAGACACGGCCCAGACUCCUACGGGAGGCAGCAGUGGGGAAUAUUGCACAAUGGGCGAAAGCCUGAUGCAGCGACGCCGCGUGAGGGAUGACGGCCUUCGGGUUGUAAACCUCUUUCAGCAGGGAAGAAGCGCAAGUGACGGUACCUGCAGAAGAAGCGCCGGCUAACUACGUGCCAGCAGCCGCGGUAAUACGUAGGGCGCAAGCGUUGUCCGGAAUUAUUGGGCGUAAAGAGCUCGUAGGCGGCUUGUCACGUCGGUUGUGAAAGCCCGGGGCUUAACCCCGGGUCUGCAGUCGAUACGGGCAGGCUAGAGUGUGGUAGGGGAGAUCGGAAUUCCUGGUGUAGCGGUGAAAUGCGCAGAUAUCAGGAGGAAC